AUUGUUGUUCCAAACUUUCCUAAAAAUGGGAUUAAAGUUACAAUAUUCCUCCUUUUAGUAGUACUAGUUGUACUUCAGUAGGUGGCGGUAAGGCACAUAAAGGCAACACUGCCGAUAAUUCAGAGGAAGAACAAGACGAAGACUAGAAGGAGGAGGUGGGUUAGUGGCACGCUGGGUGUCUCCAAGAAAGUCUUAUUCUUGGAGACAUGAACAGUCUUAUUUUUAGUGAUAUUAAGUAUUAAAAAAAAUGCAACUUUUAUGCAUUUUAGAUCAAUUUAGCGAGCUCUUUCUUCUCUUUUGAGCAUGAUUUUUAAACGAGGUUUUGUACAGUAACGUUAGCUGAAUCGUGCCACCGCCUUGUCCGGUAAUUAGGUCAGCUGAAGGAAAGGUUCCAGUGAAAGUAGCAGAGUGGACCUGGAUGUGCAUGGUCGACCUGCGGAAGUGAAGCCAGUUCAGGUGAACUACAUCUACCUUAAGCUCUCGACUGGUUUGUCUUUGUUCUAAGUUAUUCAUUGCCAAAUAAAUACAAAUUGUCAAGCAAA